AAAGACAAAAAUCUAUCCCUAAAUUUACGCCACUAACACAUCCACGUAACCACGUUCAUGAUGGUUUUACAACGGAUCAAUCUCCUAUUUAAAUUCAAUUUCAGUCUCUUCUCUCUUGAAUCCUUCUAUGUUAUUUAUCUCUCCGCUCAAUUCUUAGGCAGUUGAAAGAUGCCUCUGGAAUUAUACUCAUUUUUCAAAUCUAGAUUCUUUGAAAAAAGAAUAGAAGAUCAGGGCUGUAAUAUCCGGGACAUGAAAUUAUUUUAUAUUUUGAUUUGAACGUGUUUAGGUAUCAGAAAAUUAUGCUGACGGGAUUCGAGUCACCAAUUUAAGGGUCAGAGCUUUCUCCCCCUAAAAAAAGACCAUAUAUUCUCCACGGGAAUUUCUUCAUCCCAUCAUAGCUGCGACCUUAAGAAACUGUGCCGAACUCCUGAAUUUGUAUCGUAUCUUGCAAACAUCGAGUUUUUCGGGCGAAUCAGAAGGAUUGAUUACGAUCUACUUACGAGCGGUUUCCAAAGACGACGAGUCUAAGAUGCUGUUCCACACUUCUCAGCCUUUUAUCUGUCGUGGAUUCUGCAUCGGCGAAUGGGAUUCUGAUUAUAUCUCAGAGUAAACCGGUGGCUUGUGAUUUUUAGCCCUUGAAACAGAGGAGACGAAGAAGAUGGAUCUCGACCACUCAACAAAACCACAACAACAAAUGAAGACAAGCCCAUGUAAACACCAAAAGAAACAUUAUAAUCGUCAGCACGUCUCUUCGUGUACAAAGAUGAAGGAGCAAUUCAGCACUCCAAAUAGGUUGAGAUUCUCCAGUCCCAAGGCACAUCACUCAACAUAAUUAAUUAGGCAUCGUUUGAAAUCAGUAAUUAUGAUCUAUGAGGAUUUCAGAUUGUUCUACUUGGAGUAUAAAAACCCUUUUGGGUGAACGUAAAAGUAAAGGUGAAAUCAAUAAUAUGAGAAUUUUUAGUAAAUUUAUUUCAAUUCACAACUGCAACAUCCUCAUGGGUAUAAAAUU